AAUGAGAGAUUCCAACACAAGACCAUAGAGUAAGAAAACGAGAGCAGGAAUUUAUUCCCCUAGCUUUCUCUUUGCCACAUUACCACAGGUCACCUAUGCCAUUCCACCAAAGGCGUGGCUCCUGUCAGGUGGCCCAAUCUUGAAGAAUGGAUUCACCUGUGGGUCAACUAAUGAAAACCAAAUCCUCCAAGUCAAGUCCUUGUCUUCCAGGAGGUCAGGAAAAAAAUCUCUUCUAAAGAAUCAUUCUUAGAUCUGAGACAUAGAAGAUGAAUAGUAUCUCGUUCAGGCAAAGCAUUUGUGAAGGUCCAGAGGUGAGAAGAUACUUUGCAUUUUCAUCAAAACUGAAGCAGCUGAGGCUCACUGAGCAGCAGGAAAGAAAGGAAACAGGUUUGACUUCAUCACCUUUGAAAGAUGACCUACAAAGUCAUUUUGGAAGAGGAUCUCUCUUGAAAGGUUAUUAUAGCCCAAAACUGGAACUGAUGUACAUUGCUCAACUCUCAUUCUAUUGGCUGCAAUUUAGGCACAUGGCCUCACAGGAGGCUGGGAAUCUAAUUAUAUAUGUAAAUACAAAGAGGAAACAAGUGUGUGAUUGCCCAGGAAUCUCAGCCAUAAACAACAUCUUAUGCAAAAUUAAAUUUUGUAAGUAUUAAAAUUCUAACAUAAAAAAACUA